UACAGAGGGGGCAAGCGUUGUUCGGAAUUACUGGGCGUAAAGGGCGCGUAGGUGGCCUUCUAAGUUGAACGUGAAAUCCCUGGGCUCAACCCAGGAACUGCGUCCGAGACUGGGAGGCUUGAAUCCGGGAGAGGGAUGCGGAAUUCCAGGUGUAGCGGUGAAAUGCGUAGAUAUCUGGAGGAACACCGGUGGCGAAGGCGGCAUCCUGGACCGGUAUUGACACUGAGGCGCGAAAGCCAGGGGAGCAAACGGG
rnacentral:rRNA from 1 species